AGAGUUUGAUCCUGGCUCAGGAUGAACGCUGGCGGCGUGCCUAACACAUGCAAGUCGAGCGAAGCGAUCGAGAUGAAGUUUUCGGAUGGAUUCCUGAUCGACUGAGCGGCGGACGGGUGAGUAACGCGUGGGUAACCUGCCUCAUACAGGGGGAUAACAGUUAGAAAUGACUGCUAAUACCGCAUAAGCGCACAGUACCACAUGGUACGGUGUGAAAAACUCCGGUGGUAUGAGAUGGACCCGCGUCUGAUUAGCUAGUUGGUGGGGUAACGGCCCACCAAGGCGACGAUCAGUAGCCGACCUGAGAGGGUGAUCGGCCACAUUGGGACUGGAGACACGGCCCAAACUCCUACGGGAGGCA
rnacentral:rRNA from 1 species